rnacentral:rRNA from 1 species
UACGAAGGGGGCUAGCGUUGCUCGGAAUCACUGGGCGUAAAGCGCACGUAGGCGGCUAUUCAUGAGUCAGGGGUGAAAUCCUGGAGCUCAACUCCAGAACUGCCUUUGAUACUGGAGAGCUUGAGUCCGGAAGAGGUGAGUGGGAACUCCGAGUGUAGAGGUGAAAUUCGUAGAUAUUCGGAAGAACACCAGUGGCGAAGGCGGCUCACUGGUCCGGUACUGACGCUGAGGCGCGAAAGCUAGGGGAGCGAAGAGG